AAUGGGGGAAACCCUGAUGCAGCGACGCCGCGUGAGCGAUGAAGCCCUUCGGGGUGUAAAGCUCUUUCGGCAGGGAAGAUGAUGACGGUACCUGCAGAAGCAGCUGCGGCUAACUACGUGCCAGCAGCCGCGGUAAUACGUAGGCAGCAAGCGUUGUUCGGAGUUACUGGGCGUAAAGGGUGUGUAGGCGGUUCCUUAAGUUUGUUGUGAAAUCUCCCGGCUCAACCGGGAGGGUGCGGCGAAUACUGGGGAGCUAGAGUGCGGGAGAGGAAAGUGGAAUUCCUGGUGUAGCGGUGAAAUGCGUAGAUAUCAGGAGGAACACCGGUGGUGUAAACGGCUUUCUGGACCGUAACUGACGCUGAGGCACGAAAGCGUGGGUAGCAAA
rnacentral:rRNA from 1 species